UACGUAGGGGGCAAGCGUUGUCCGGAUUUAUUGGGCGUAAAGAGCGUGUUGGCGGUUAGGUAGGUCCGUUGUGAAAACUCGAGGCUCAACCUCGAGACGCCGAUGGAAACCAUCUAACUAGAGUCCGGAAGAGGAGAGUGGAAUUCCUGGUGUAGCGGUGAAAUGCGCAGAUAUCAGGAGGAACACCGGUGGCGAAGGCGGGUCUCUGGGCCGAUACUGACGCUGAGGAGCGAAAGCGUGGGGAGCGAACAGG
rnacentral:rRNA from 1 species